rnacentral:rRNA from 1 species
AGUGAACGCUGGCGGUAGGCCUAACACAUGCAAGUCGAACGGCAGCACAGUAAGAGCUUGCUCUUACGGGUGGCGAGUGGCGGACGGGUGAGGAAUACAUCGGAAUCUACUUUUUCGUAGGGGAUAACGUAGGGAAACUUACGCUAAUACCGCAUACGACCUACGGGUGAAAGCAGGGGAUCUUCGGACCUUGCGCGAUUGAAUGAGCCGAUGUCGGAUUAGCUAGUUGGCGGGGUAAAGGCCCACCAAGGCGACGAUCCGUAGCUGGUCUGAGAGGAUGAUCAGCCACACUGGAACUGAGACACGGUCCAGACUCCUACGGGAGGCAGCAGUGGGGAAGAUUGGACAAUGGGCGCAAGCCUGAUCCAGCCAUACCGCGUGGGUGAAGAAGGCCUUCGGGUUGUAAAGCCCUUUUGUUGGGAAAGAAAAGCAGCAGGUUAAUACCCCGCUGUUCUGACGGUACCCAAAGAAGAAGCACCGGCUAACUUCGUG